AAUCGAUUCUAUUUUUUAUUUUUUUCAAAACUUUGUAAUAUUUGAAAUGACAAUAUCAUUAAUAAUAUAGCAUUUUAUAUUUUUCCAUUGAUUUUCUCUUUUUGGAUGAUAAUGCAUGAUUUAAUCUAGAUCUGUCGAGUGAUAAAAUGAUUGUUUUCAAACAGAAAUAGUUAGGUUUGAUUCUCAGAAUCUAUUUCUCAGAUAUUUUUUCAUGAAAAGGAUAUUUUUUCUCGCUCAAAUGAUCAGGAAUUUGAAAGCCCAAUCUUUCAAAUUCCUGAUCUUUGAGCGAGUAAUGUUUUGGAUUUUUAAUCGACUGGAUUGGCCUCAUGAAAAUGCUCCGGUUUUCUAUCCAGAAAAUUCAAAUUUGAUUCUUUGAAUAAUUUACAUAGGGAGGCCGAAUCCCGUCUGUCGAUUUUUAUUCUUUAUAGUCUGGAUGAUCAUUCUACGAGUGUAGGUGGCUUAUGUCUGAAUUCCCCUGCUGCUUAACAAUCAAUAGAUUGAGAAUUGGCACCAUUCAUUGGAAAAAAUCAUUCAGAUUUUUCAUCCAGAGGACCCGAUUCCAUUUCGGGUACUAUCGUUUGGAAAAGUUAUUUGGAGUUUCAGGCCCGAUCCAUCGAUUUCUAUCUUCUACAAUCCGAUUGACUUCUCCACAGGGAUAGAUAGCCUGCGGCAAAUAUACCCACCUGCUACUUAGUGUUCAAUAGAUUGAAACGUGGCCUCAUCUAUUGCUGAAAAAUAUCUCUGAUGAAUUAUUUGCAUCCUAUAAAAUUUUGUGAUUUAAUCAUUUAACCUUGUACAAUAAAAUCAGUGGAAUUCUACAAUAGUAGGCACCAAACCCAUGGUGAAAUUAAGAAAUGAAUAUCUUCUAUCAAUUAUAUCCUAUUAGAUAUUAAGCGGAGAGGCUCCUCCAAAGUCACCAUGGACUGCCUACAUCCUAAAUAAGAUAGCUCUCAGACGAAGAAUGGAGUUCUCUUAGCCAAUAGGAAUAGAGUGAUGAAGAAUUCAUUACGCUAUUCCUGUUGGCAUAAGAGGACUAAAGGAUGCAUUGUCUUUUUCGCAAGUAAAUAUGACAUAUUUCUGGUAGGAUCGGUUUUUCUUCAGUCUUUUCUAUCUUUCUUUCAUUCUUCAAAGAGUUACACCACAGAAUAUUCAGUAUAUAUUCCAAUUACUGAUUACAUUCUCUCUUUCAAUAAAGUUUAGAUGAAGACUGAGGUUCAACGAACUGAACACGGAUUUCUCCGAAAAAUCUGGAGAUGUAAGAUCAAGAGCAGUGAUUCUCAAACACUGUGCCGCGGAACACCAGUGUGAGGCCAAACCUUUGGUGGUGUGCUGUGAAAAAUUAAGAAUGAACUGUAU
rnacentral:lncRNA from 1 species